rnacentral:tRNA from 1 species
GGGGCCUUAGUUCAGUUGGGAGAACGCUUGACUGGCAGUCAAGAGGUCAGGGGUUCAAGUCCCCUAGGCUCCACCA